GCGAACGCCGGUAAACCGUUCUGCGCGCCCUCCGAAGGCAGGGGUUGCUGGUUCGAUCCCAGCCGGGCGCACCA
rnacentral:tRNA from 1 species